rnacentral:rRNA from 1 species
AGAGACAGCAGCAGCCGCGGGAAUACGGAGGGUGCAAGCGUUAAUCGGAAUUACUGGGCGUAAAGCGCACGCAGGCGGUCUGACAAGUCAGAUGUGAAAUCCCCGGGCUUAACCUGGGAACUGCAUUUGAAACUGUCAGGCUGGAGUCUUGUAGAGGGGGGUGGAAUUCCAGGUGUAGCGGUGAAAUGCGUAGAGAUCUGGAGGAAUACCGGUGGCGAAGGCGGCCCCCUGGACAAAGACUGACGCUCAGGUGCGAAAGCGUGGGGAGCAAACAGGAUUAGAACCCCGGUAGUCCCUGUCUCUUAUACA